rnacentral:rRNA from 1 species
CAGCAGCCGCGGGAAUACGAAGGGUGCAAGCGUUAAUCGGAAUUACUGGGCGUAAAGCGUGCGUAGGCGGUUUGUUAAGUCUGCUGUGAAAUCCCCGGGCUCAACCUGGGAAUGGCAGUGGAUACUGGCAAGCUAGAGUGUGUCAGAGGAUGGUGGAAUUCCCGGUGUAGCGGUGAAAUGCGUAGAGAUCGGGAGGAACAUCAGUGGCGAAGGCGGCCAUCUGGGACAACACUGACGCUGAGGCACGAAAGCGUGGGGAGCAAACAGGAUUAGAUACCCGGGUAGUCCCUGUCUCUUAUAC